GACAGAGGGUGCAAGCGUUGUCCGGAAUUAUUGGGCGUAAAGAGCUCGUAGGCGGUCUGUUACGUCCGCUGUGAAAACCCCAGGGCUUAACCCUGGGCUUGCAGUGGAUACGGGGUAGACUAGAGGCAGGUAGGGGAGAAUGGAAUUCCCCGGUGUAGCGGUGAAAUGCGCAGAUAUCGGGGAGGAACACCGGUGGCGAAGGCGGUUCUCUGGGCCUGACCUGACGCUGAGGAGCGAAAAGCGUGGGGGAGCGAACAGG
rnacentral:rRNA from 1 species